GAAGAGAAGGGCUAUGAAGUGGGGUGGGAGGCGCAAGUGGUCUUUUGGAGGGGACAGCUCUUGCAGAGGAGAGGGUCGGGGAGGGGAGAAGAAAGGGGGCAGGGAGGGACGGUUUACAGCCAGAAACCUGCGUCUGUCACGGGGGCUGCUGGGAUGAAAGACGGCGGUGGGCUCUGAAAAUGUGUGUGUCAGCAGCGGGCAGGCCCCGCCAACACUCGGAGCUGCCAGGCAGGGAGGCACUUUCAGGGCGAGUGGAGAAAGGACCGAGGAGCCAG
rnacentral:lncRNA from 10 species